AUACUGUUGUCCUGUGUUUAAUUUGCUCCUACUCAUGCACUUUUGAUGGAAUGAACAGAGAUGAGUAGAGUCAUGGUUUUGUAACCUUGCUAUUGGUAUUCCACAUCAUAACAUCAUGGACAAAAGAGAAGAACUAUGUAUCCCAGAGGACCUCACGGUCAGAGAAGGAAGAUACAUCACGGAAGAUACGUCAUCUGGUUGCGCACGGUCUUUUUCACUUUCGCUUGCUAGGGGGAGAGGAGUGGGUGUACUUCCAAGCCGUGCGCCUUCAUCAAGUACGGCUUUCGGUUUCAGAAACUCUCUCUCUCUCUCUCUCUCUCUAUCGCUCUUUCACUCUCUCUCAUUUCAUUUGAUUUAUUAUCCUUACUCCCAAUUAGAUUGUAUUAUAUCGUGUUAUCUUGCAUUCCAACAUCGUAGUUAGUAAAAUAAGUUCUCCUUCUUAGGUCGUUGCCACUGCUCCGUUUUUUCUCGGGAAGCCAGGGGGGAGGGGGUCCGCGAACCUACUGCCCCCCUGUCACGGGCACAGAUCUUUCUAGAUAACUCCAUGACAAAUUUUUGGUGGAGGAUGCAGGCAGUAGUCUGAAGCUUUUAACGUCAGUAGGAAAAAAGGAUUUCUUUAAGCCAGACUGUGAGACUACAAGGCAUUGCUGGUGUUGGUGUGACCUUCAUAGAUUAGAUUAUAGCCUGGGCAGUCCGCCAAACUCCAGACACUGUACCGAGUGGUUUCCGUUUGUUUUCUUUUUUUUUCUCUUCACCCCCCCUCCUCUCCCUUGAGCAGUUACCAGCUAUGAGGUUGCUUUUUAUUGACAGAGCACUGUAUAAGGGAUUAAAAGCUAUCAUGUUGCCAAACUUGCCAGAUACCGGUCUAUAAUUAACAUCUGGAUGUCUUGCUGUGGAAUUGUGUUCAUAUACAACCAAAUAGGGGCUCUGAUAGAGGCACCUGCCUGGUGGCUUUAUGCAAUGUUGUAUAAUUUGAAUUUUGAGACUUUCAAACCGGUUUCCAGGCUUUCCUCUCAGUUUGUGGAACGUUUUUCAAAUACCUAGUCAGUGCUCAUACUUGUGUGCAUGUUAUCAAUAUCCUUGAAUGUAUUCCUCUUC
ensembl:lncRNA